GACGAACCGUGCGAACGUUGUUCGGAAUCCCUGGGCUUAAAGGGCGCGUAGGCGGGCUGACAAGUCUGGGGUGAAAUGCCGCGGCUCAACCGUGGAACUGCCUUAGAUACUGUCGGCCUCGAGGAAGGUAGGGGCAUGCGGAACUGUAGGUGGAGCGGUGAAAUGCGUUGAUAUCUACAGGAACUCCGGUGGCGAAAGCGGCGUGCUGGACCUUUUCUGACGCUGAGGCGCGAAAGCUAGGGGAGCAAACGGG
rnacentral:rRNA from 1 species